rfam:Brachypodium distachyon strain Bd21 chromosome 5, whole genome shotgun sequence.
GUAAUACUCCCUCCGACCCAUAUUACUUGUCUCAAAUUUGUUUAAAUAUGAAUGUAUCUAUCUUUAAAAAGCGUCUAGAUACAUUAAUAUUUUGACAAGUAAUAUGGGUCGGAGGGAGUACUAA